rnacentral:tRNA from 1 species
GCAGUCGUGGCCCAGUGGUUAAGGCGAUGAACUAGAAAUCCAUUGGGGUCUCCCCGCAGAGGUUCGAAUCUUGUCGACUGCG